CAGUAGCCGCGGUAAUACGAAGGGUGCAAGCGUUACUCGGAAUUACUGGGCGUAAAGCGUGCGUAGGUGGUGGUUUAAGUCCGUUGUGAAAGCCCUGGGCUCAACCUGGGAAUUGCAGUGGAUACUGGGUCACUAGAGUGUGGUAGAGGAUAGUGGAAUUUCCGGUGUAGCAGUGAAAUGCGUAGAGAUCGGAAGGAACAUCUGUGGCGAAGGCAGCCCCCUGGGCCAACACUGACGCUCAUGCACGAAAGCGUGGGGAGCAAACAGGAUUAGAUACCCCCGUAGUCCCUGUCUCUUAUAC
rnacentral:rRNA from 1 species